GGCUCUGUGGCGCAAUGGAUAUCGCAUUGGACUUCUAAUUCAAAGGUUGUGGGUUCAAAUCCCACCAGAGUCA
rnacentral:tRNA from 1 species